rnacentral:rRNA from 1 species
UACGUAGGGUGCGAGCGUUGUCCGGAAUUAUUGGGCGUAAAGGGCUCGUAGGCGGUUUGUCGCGUCGGGAGUGAAAACUCAGGGCUUAACUCUGAGCUUGCUUCCGAUACGGGCAGACUGGAGGUAUGCAGGGGAGAACGGAAUUCCUGGUGUAGCGGUGAAAUGCGCAGAUAUCAGGAGGAACACCGGUGGCGAAGGCGGUUCUCUGGGCAUUACCUGACGCUGAGGAGCGAAAGUGUGGGGAGCGAACAGGAUUAGAUACCCCUGUAGU